GCCCCUGAAGGAAGACAGCCGUCCGUUGGUCUUAGGAACCAGACUCCUUGGUGCAAAUCCAAGCGGGGGCU
rnacentral:tRNA from 1 species